CAGGUGCUGUCAGGCAGCGACUCUACUGCUUGGCCACCGUACCGCCCCAGAAUAAAUAACGCUAGCUUUAUGGUGAGAGGCAU